AUGAACAAUAAUCUCAAUAUUUACUGAACACAGUAACCACAUCGUAAGGUCCCAUUUCCUCUAAAAAUGCACUAAACUGACGCAAACAUAAAUAAAUCUUGAUCUGUUCCCAUUCCCAAUAUAUAAGCAAUUCAUCCCCUCUUUGGUAUGAGCAAAUUCCAUAUGAAUUCACAAUUUCAGAAAAUGCAGAAUCAAGAUCCUC
rnacentral:lncRNA from 1 species